rnacentral:rRNA from 1 species
AGUGAACGCUGGCGGUAGGCCUAACACAUGCGAGUCGAACGGCAGCACAGUAAGAGCUUGCUCUUACGGGUGGCGAGUGGCGGACGGGUGAGGAAUACAUCGGAAUCUACUUUUUCGUGGGGGAUAACGUAGGGAAACUUACGCUAAUACCGCAGACGACCUACGGGUGAAAGCAGGGGAUCUUCGGACCUUGCGCGAUUGAAUGAGCCGAUGUCGGAUUAGCUAGUUGGCGGGGUAAAGGCCCACCAAGGCGACGAUCCGUAGCUGGUCUGAGAGGAUGAUCAGCCACACUGGAACUGAGCCACGGUCCAGACUCCUACGGGAGGCAGCAGUGGGGAAUAUUCGACAAUGGGGGCAAGCCUGAUCCAGCCAUACCGCGUGGGGGAAGAAGGCCUUCGGGUUGUAAAGCCCUUUUGUUGGGAAAGAAAAGCAGCAGGUUAACACCCCGAUGUUCUGACGGUACCCAAAGAAUAAGCACCGGCUAACUUCGUG